CCCCCCCCCCGAAAAAAAGAAAAAAAACUCCACGAGCCCUUUUCCGCAUUUUUAUCCAAUGAAAGAAACAAAUGCCAUCGUCGUCCUCCCGUAGCGCAUCCUGCCGUCGCAAUAAAAAUAAAAAUAAAAAAGAGGAGAAAUACAUUAGGAGGCUACAACAUGUAUAUAUAUCUUUUCCAAAUCCGAUUCACUUCCAUAAAGGCUAACCAUAGUAGGAGAGUAGAUCGAAUCAUAGCCCAGGACAAAAUCCCCUGGCCACCAAAGCCGAAGCGAAAGGCUUUUUUUUUCUUUCUAAAAGGGUUGACUAAUGCGAACUAAUAAACUGUGCAAGGCCCUUUUUUUAAAUGUUCGAAUUCUGCCAUCCAUUGGUUGUGUAAGCUUUUCGCUUAUUACAACUCCGAUUGUUCUUGGCCCAAUCCGACAGAUAAAUAAGGCGAAUGUGCGGGGGGGUUUGGCGGCCCCAGAACAGAAACAAAAAAAAAUAAGAAAUCGUGGGGACCACCAGGACUUGAUUGGUGGUCGUCGUUUACUUGUUCUCAAAGAAGAUGUUGACCAUAUACGAGGUGGGUAUAGUCUCCAUUAACAGGCGACACGAUCGCCAUUUUUUUUUUGCGACUUUUUGGACAUUUUCUUUUUUUUUCUGUUUGGUCUAUUGGAAAUUUAUAUAUUUGUGCUGGGCAAUUUAGCGCAACUCAAGGUAAUGGCUCGGGAUAUCGAAAGUAGUCAAACGUAUAGAGGAACAUGGAAAAGGCUGUCGUUGUUUAUGGUAAAGGGCGAACUCUCUCUGUCUACUUUUUUUUUCACUCGAGUGGGAACUGGUCGAAAUGAGAUUGUCUCCGUGAGCAAUCAUUAGCUCUCACCUCCCGUUAAGUAAUCGGCCCGGCAUAGAACCAUAAGAACUGACACUGUGCUGACUGUGCUGCUGCUAUAGCGCGCGGGUAAUACAAUAUAUUCUCUCAAUUUCAGGUUUGUGUGUGUCGUCAAGGCUGGACAGUUUUCCAUUUUCUUUUCUUGUAACUCUCUGUGGUGUCUUUUUGCUCCAGCCAAAAGUACAAUCGGGGGAAAAGAGAGAGAGAACGAUACUCUAGAGAGAGAGACACAAGGUAAAAUGGUAAAAGGUGUACAAACGACACACUUGGACCAUAGCCAUAACUCUGGUUGAAAAACACACACAGCCAAAUAACAACAAGAGAUUUUCUUAACUUCUUUUUCGUGUUUGUUUGUUGGUUUAAUACCUUUAAUUUGGCUUUGUUCCCCUCUUUUUUUUUUAAAUGCCGUUCAUCUCGAUAGAGAAGAAGGCUCGCCGGUAAUUUACAACACUUAGAGCUCUGGCAACGUGUAUAUAUUUCUCCCUGGGAAGGAGGAGGAUCCGCGUCCGAUUCGCAGCUGUGCCGAACGGACGAGCGACUAAGUGCGCGCUCAGGGUGAAUAAUGGACGCGCGUUUGCCGAUGUUUUCAUAUAGAUCCCCGCCGGCCGCAAGGGGGGAAACACCAACAACUCUACAACAACAACAACAACAGCUCGCUAGAGUGAUUACACACCUGCGCAUUUGAAGAGACCGCGCAAACCCAAGAGAGAGAGAGCGUCUUCUCCUCAUUAGCAAACCAAAUAAAAGUAGACGAAACCAACAAGCCUUUGUGGGGAAGAGGAGUUCUAACAGGCCCCCAAAAAAGACACUGGCUUAUGGAGUUCCAAAGUCCAGUGUAGCGCGGGAAAUGUCACCAGCAGAGAAUGUCACCAUCAAAGAAAGAGGAGAGCUUGUUUGUUUUUUUAUUAUUAUAUUCAGACAAUAUAACAGCAGCAGCAGCAGCAGCAGCUGUGGUUUUUUGGGGGCCUUUUUUUUAUUCCCCUUGAAUGUCUUUUUCAGCAGCGCGGUCGAACGAAGAAUAUCCCGACGCUGUGGAAUAAUCGGGUUGACUCUCCUGUGAAGAUUCUCCGCGCCGAUAUCGAGUGUAGGAUAGCGCAUAACCAAAGCCUUUCGAUAUUUUGUCGUGAAAUGGAGACGUUCAUUGCGUUCACCGUGACAGCAGACGUGGCACGCUCGCAUGGCAGCCGACGAGCGUCAUCAUCAUCAGACCGGAAUGGAUAAAUUAUUUAAAAAAUAAAUUAAAAAAAAAAAAAAAGACUAUGGUGCAUUUCAUUAUUAUUUUGUUUCUUGUUUUAAUUCAUCAUUUUCUUUUUUGCUGGCUUUUUUUUUAAGGAGGACUGAUAUCAAGCGCUUGUCAAGCGCUUGUCUGUCAUAGAAACUGACACGGCUGACAUAUUCGCGUUCGCUGACAUUUACAUCAGCCACAGCAGGUACGAAGCAAUCAGGCACUCAACUCCCGCGCGUCACCGACUGCACUUGUGCACACACACACUUGCCAUUCGUGUUGUUGUACACAGCGUCUAACACAGACACACACGUUCAGGUGAGCCCAGCACGCAGGCGACACGAUUUGUACAUGCCAAAUUAUACCUGGCCGAUUUCAUUUGUAUUUUCUUUUUGGCCCGUAGAAGAAGAAAAGAACACACAGAACAAACAUUGUGAAAAUUGCAUAAACCGAACGCACUAUCUAUUCAAAUUUGUUACUGACCUUUUUUUCGGUUUCGGAAAGAGAGGCCUUUACCCAUUUCUUUUAUCUCCGCACACAACAUUUACGCAGCAGUAAUAUAUAUAUGCGUCUUGUCUGUA